UACGUAGGGGGCUAGCGUUGUCCGGAAUCAUUGGGCGUAAAGGGCGCGUAGGCGGCUUUUCAAGUGACGGGUGAAAUCCCUCGGCUUAACCGAGGAACUGCCUGUCAGACUGGAAGGCUUGAGACCGGGAGAGGUGAGUGGAAUUCCCAGUGUAGCGGUGAAAUGCGUAGAUAUUGGGAGGAACACCAGUGGCGAAGGCGGCUCACUGGACCGGAACUGACGCUGAGGCGCGAAAGCGUGGGGAGCAAACAGG
rnacentral:rRNA from 1 species